UUACACACUUAAAACAGAUUCUCGAGCUCGGCAGAAUAAAAUGCUGAUUUCCAUCGGCAACAUAAAAAUUUGCCGAUAUUUCAGCAAACAAAAUGCGUUUGCUGAGAUUUACCACAAUCAAUUGCCGAAAUAUCAGUAAAUCGUUUUAAAGUUCUGAAAUUUGACAGCAUUAUUUGCUGGGCACAUCUGCAAACACAAAUUAAGCCGAAGUCAGCAUAAAAGAUUGCCGAGAUGUCAGCAUUUGUAUUAUGUAUUGCCGAAAUUUGCAAAACACAGCUGUCACUUUAGUUUUCGCUAUUCCUUGGUAGUGGAAAAACAGUUCUUUUUACUUUUUCGUUUAACUGGCUGUAAAAGUUAAUAAUUCAACCGUAAAAUAACAAAUUCCAGUAGAGAUUUGUGUAAAGCGGCACGUCCAAAUUCCUUCAGUAUGAGCCUGAGUCCACCUUGCAGUGUGUUGAAAAAAGAACACUCAAACUCAGUUUCAUCCCAACCGGCGUCAAAUUCCAUUAAGUGUACUAAUUUGGUCAUAUUCAAGCCAAUAAAUCAACUGAAAAUGGUUA